UGUGUGCUGGAGGAUGAAAAUAACGAGUGAUCCAUCGGCUAAGUGUCUUACCACUAUGCUGAAACUCACAUUGCUGACAGCAUACA
ensembl:snoRNA Snord71 small nucleolar RNA, C/D box 71